GACGAACGCUGGCGGCGUGCUUAACACAUGCAAGUCGAACGGAAAGGCCCUGCUUUUGUGGGGUGCUCGAGUGGCGAACGGGUGAGUAACACGUGAGUAACCUGCCCUUGACUUUGGGAUAACUUCAGGAAACUGGGGCUAAUACCGGAUAGGAGCUCCUGCUGCAUGGUGGGGGUUGGAAAGUUUCGGCGGUUGGGGAUGGACUCGCGGCUUAUCAGCUUGUUGGUGGGGUAGUGGCUUACCAAGGCUUUGACGGUUAGCCGGCCUGAGGGGGUGACCGGCCACUUGGGGCAGGCAGAAGGGCCCGUAUUAUAAGGGGGGGAGGAGUGGGGAAAUAUGGCAAAUGGGGGGAAGUCCGAUUGCGGCACGGCGCGUGGGGGAAGAAGGCCUUUCGGUUUGAAACCGCUUUCGCCUGUGACGAAGCGUGAGUGACGGUAAUGGGUAAAGAAGCACCGGCUAACUACGUG
rnacentral:rRNA from 1 species